CGUUAUGGCGAGUUGCGCAGGAGCACCUUCGGGUGCGCCGGGUUCCUGAAUCACCGGUCCGCCAAUCUUGCGCAAUUCGCCACCCAU
rnacentral:antisense_RNA from 2 species